CGAGUAUCUACCGGACAAGUUCCACGUUGCUUGCGAGUUGGCCGUCGACUUUGCCGGACCCAUAAUUAUAGAUCUGUUUACCGUGAGCGUUACUUCUGAUAUAGUUUGCGCUAGCUUGGACAUAUGUUACAAUGAUAAAGGUGGCCCAUACACAUGCCAACUCUUCCCCCAUGACAACGAGCUUGCGUAUAGCGAGUCUAUGGUGAAAGCGUCGUGGAUUGUAAAGAAACACCUACGACGA